AUCGCCAAAUGAGCAUGCAGGUGAUUAAAAUAUGAUCAUUGCUUGGUUUUGCUUUGUUCCUAUGCAAUCAUAUUCUGCUCGCUUGGCUGAUCGAAAAUCGAUUCUUAUCUAAGCUUAUAUCUAAGUUAAACGGUACUUUUUCUUAAGCACAAGCCGAAAUGUGCAAAUUUUGUCAUUCGAGCGUGAAAGUGCAAGUGAAGUGCAAGUGCGAAGUGUAUACAAAUAAAUUAUAUCAAUUAUAUCAAAUACAAAUAAAAAGGUGAUUAUAGCUGCGAUCAAAAAAGUUUUUUCGGACAAGGUAGCUUCCGAAUACAGCUGGAAGGGGACCAAAAUUAAACCAUCAGCAGAAAGGUGUUACAUUAUAGCCGUAAUAAAAAAUAUUGCUAAUGAAAAAUUUACAUGCACGGAUAAGGAUUUAAAUACGGUGCUACAAAAGCAUUUUGUCCAUGCCAAUGACAAACUGGCAAAGCGUAGGCGCUUAGAAUAAUAUAAAACAUACUUUCUAUUUCUGUUACUAUUUUUGUUAUUUUUUGUUUUGAAUUUCUAUAUUUUGUUU